GGCUAAUCCUGGUGCUGCCACUCUGCAGCCACCGAAGCCACCAUCUGCUCUUUGCCCUGCUCCGGCCUUUGAUCAAACGGUAAAUAAAUCCUUCAGGAUAGGGAAGGAUUUCCUAGGUGCUGGCCAUACGGCAACAUAUUUGGUCAUUGCAUGGAGCCCUGGGUAGCACUGUGAUCGCUGAUUUAAUCCAGGAGAACCAACAAAACUACUGAAUUAUCAUAAUAGCUAACAUGCUUGGGAAUGCUUUAAAGGGUAACAUGUUGGAAGCUGUUCCAAGUCGGCUGGUUGGAUGUGACCAACAUGUUUUGGAGAGAGGAGAGUUUGUACAGACACAAACUGCACUAUGUCUGUUGGCUGUGGGAAUGAAGCACAGAAGCCAUUUCAUCUUAUAUAACACUUUACCCACAGUCUGAGACAGAACCGAGGAAAAUCUUCCCAAGUCUCUCAGAUGUCAGCUGAAAACAGAUGAGCUGGGAAUGCAGGUUGAAUACCUUCUUCAGCUCUUCCUUUGGACAAGUUCACUAAGUUCAGGAAACACCUUGGGAACAAUUCAUGUCAGUGUGUGUCUGUAUUACUUCUGUUGUUAGCAUGAAGAGCCUCAAAGUAAUCUAAGUCAAUGAUCUGAUUACUAAUAAAGAGCAGCGCUGGU